CUGUACUUUGCCUCAUUUGAAUAACCCUGUAUAGCGCCUCAUAUACAUUGACCAAUGGGAAUAGCUCUGUACAAUGCCUCAUUAGAAUUAUCCAAUAGAAUCCCUGCUCCUAGCUUGCGCCUUUUUCCCUAUAUAAGGACCCCUUUCCCUUGGCUCGGGGCGCUUAGCCACACAAAGGCUGAGUCGCCCCGGGUGCCCGCGUCUCCAAUAAAGCCUCUUGUUUUUUUGCAUCCAGUUCGUGGCCUCGCUGAUUCCUGGGUGUGUGGGUCUCCCUCUACGAAAGUGCCUCUUCGGGGGUCUUUCAUUUGGGGGCUCGUCCGGGAUUAGAGACCCCCCACUCAGGGACCACCGACCCACGUCUGGGAGGUAAGUGUUGUGCGGAUCCGCUGUUUUGUCUUGUCUGGUCUGAGUCCGUUUUGUGAAUUGCGCUUGCGUUUGUAGUAUACAGCUGUGUACAUUUGUAUUUGGCGGAUCCGAGAGGAGCUGACGAGCUCGGACUCCCGACCGCGGCUCCAGGAGACGUCCUGGUAGCGUUUGAAGCCCUCAGGAUGAGGGAUUUGUAUUUUGAACUUGGGAAGCCCUCGGGAUGAGGGAUUUGUACUUUGAACUUAGAUCUAUGACUGGACAUCUUCCCAGUCUCUUUGGAGAAGGCCCUCGGCUUGAGGGAUUUGCAAUCUUUACUGGGGGCGAAGAAGGAGGGCCCCCUUCUUCGACCCCACCCCCUUCUCAAUUCUUUCGACUCUCUGUCGAAACCGCGCUGCGAAAACCUGUUCUGUGUUCUGUGUUGUUUGGCCUUUGUUUUGUAAUUGAUGUGCAUAAACGCAAAUGAAUUACUCUUUGUUCCUCAGCUCGAGCGUAUAAACUUAUCUGGCCUGAUCCGGACAUCUAAACGGCCUUAAAGUUAUUAAGAACUGUAAAAAGGACUUUGAUGAAAUUUUGAUGUUAACUGAGAAAUGAGAAAAAAAAAUUAUAGGAGACGUAAAUAAUAAAAAGGGAAAGAAAAAAAAAGAGAACUUGUCUAAAAAUGUCUAAGAGAGUCAGAGAAAUGAACUAAAAGGUUAUAAAGAGUUAAAGCAAGCGGUAAAAGUUCCAGAGGGUUAAAGCAAGUUGUUGGAGGUCACAGAAAGUUACAGAGGGUUAAAGCAAGUUGCAGAAGGUCAGAGGAAAGUUGUCAAAGGUCAGAGAAAAGGUUGUUACAAGUCACAGAAAAACCCUGCCUAAGAAAGAAGUUAAGCUACUGUUUAAGGAAUCCUGGCACUUAGAUGUGCCUGCCCUGGCCUUGCAUCACCUGUACCUCUCUAGAGCAGGUGCUAAUUAUUUACAGAAAUAAGACCUUACCUAGCCACCUGUAGAUACUUAAUGUAUGCUUAAGGCAAGUAAUUAAAACAGACAAACAGACCUCUAAUGCUUCAGAGAUCUUCAGAAUAUGGCAUUUAAAUUGUUAUCUUUAAAGUUUUUAAUGUCAGACAGACUGCCAGAUCCUGACAAUGACCCAAAAUCUCCAAAAGAUUACGAGGCACCUCGGUUCCCGCACCUGGACCAGUGAGCGAGAUGCUCAGAUAUAAAACCUGC
rnacentral:lncRNA from 1 species